AUGAAGGUCUCACCAGAGCUGCCUCCGUGCACCCUGAGGGUUCCUCUGGUGUCCCUCCAUCCUCACCUGUGGUACUUCAGGGUGACCUGGGUGUGGUUGGAGAUCUGGAACUCCAGAGGCUCCCGGAUCUGCUCUUCUGCCAUCCUGGCACGGGAUCCACUCAGGGGUGGGAUCUUCUCAGCUUUGGGAUCUCCUCAGUUCUGGGAUCUCCUCAACUUUGGGAUCUCCUCAGCUCUGGGAUCAGCUUUGGGAUCAGCUUUGGGAUCUCCUCAACUUUGGGAUCUCCUCAGCUCCGGGAUCUCCUCCGCGAUUUCCUGGGAAUGUCCAGUUUCGUUUCGGCUCGAAAUCCGCCCAAAACCCGCCCCAAACCCGCCCAAAAUCCGGACCAAACCCGCCCAAAAUCCAGCCAAAAACCCGCCCAAAAUCCGGACCAAAUCCACCCAAAACCCGCCCAAAAACCCGCCCAAAACCCGCCCCAAAAUCCGGACUAAACCCACCCAAAAUCCAACCCAAAACCCGCCCCAAACCCGCCCAAAACCCGCCCAAAACCCGCCCAAAACCCGCCCCAAAACCUGCCCAAAAUCCAGCCCAAACCCACCCAAAACCCGCCCCAAAAUCCGGACCAAACCCGCCCAAAAUCCAGCCCAAAACCCGCCCAAAAUUCAGCUCAAACCCGCCCCAAAACCCGCCCCAAAACCCGCCCAAAAUCCGCCCAAAAUUCGCCCCAAAACCUGCCCAAAAUCCAGCCCAAACCCACCCAAAAUCCGCCCAAAACCCGCCCAAAAUCUGCCCAAACCCGCCCCAAAACCUGCCCAAAAUCCAGCCCAAACCCGCCCCAAACCCGCCCAAAAUCCAGCCCAAAUCCAGCCCAAAACCUGCCCAAAACCCACCCAAAACCCGCCCCAAAAACUGCCCCAAAAUCCGCCCAAAAUCCCGACCAAACCCGCCCAAAAUCCAGCCCAAAUCCGGACCAAAAUCCGCCCAAACCCGCCCCAAAACCCGCCCCAAAAUCCGGACCAAACCCGCCCCAAAAUCCAGCCCAAACCCACCCAAAAUCCAGCCCAAAACCUGCCCAAAACCCGCUCCAAAACCCGCCCCAAAAUCCAGCCCAAAACCUGCCCCAAAUCCGCCCCAAAACCCACCCAAAAAUCCGCCCCAAAACCCGCCCAAAAUCCGCCCCAAACCCGCCCAAAAUCCGCCCCAAAACCCGCCCCAAAACCCGCCCAAAAUCCCGACCAAACCCGCCCCAAAACCUGCCCAAAAUCCGCCCCAAAAUCCGCCCAAACCCGCCCCAAAACCCGCCCCAAAAUCCGGACCAAACCCGCCCCAAAAUCCAGCCCAAACCCACCCAAAAUCCAGCCCAAAACCUGCCCAAAACCCGCUCCAAAACCCGCCCCAAAAUCCAGCCCAAAACCUGCCCCAAAUCCGCCCCAAAACCCACCCAAAAAUCCGCCCCAAAACCCGCCCAAAAUCCGCCCCAAACCCGCCCAAAAUCCGCCCCAAAACCCGCCCCAAAAUCCGAACCAAAACCCACCCGAAACCCGCCCCAAAACCCGCCCCAAACCCGCCCAAAAAUCCAGCCCAAACCCACCCAAAAUCCAGCCCAAAAUCCAGCCCAAAACCUGCCCCAAAAUCCGGAACAAAACCCGCCCCAAAACCCGCCCCAAACCCGCCCCAAAAACCGCCCAAACCCGCCCCAAAACCCGCCCCAAACCCGCCCCAAAACCCGCCCCAAAUCCCGCCCCAAAACCCGCCCCAAAUCCCGCCCCAAAAUCCGGACCAAACCCGCCCCAAAACCCGCCCAAAA
ensembl:lncRNA